UUUCUGCCCUUAUAAGUCAAUGGUUAACCCAUUGAUACUGAUUUUUCUUCUAUAGGAAUUGAUGAUUUUUGUAAAUACAAUUAACCCUUGAGCAACAUGGGUUUGAAAUGCACGCGUCCACUUAUAUGCAGAUUUUUUUCAGUACUAAAUAUUACAAUACUACAGGAUUAGUGGUUGGUUGAAUCCUUGGAUACUGAAGGCUGACUAUGAGUUAUACUCGAAUUUUCCACUGCCGGAGGGUUGGUGCCCCAACCCCUGCAAUUGUUCAAGGGUCAGUUGUAUAUAAAUAUAUAUACCACACCAGCCGUGGAUUUCUAGUGUUAUCUGAAACAGUUAUUUUAAUUUCCUGCUUCUACCCUGUCACAUAAGCAGUCCUGAUUUGCUAAAGAUAAAUAUGUGUGUAUCUCCUUAUCCCUAUAAUGUGAUGCAUUUUUAUAUAGCAUAUACCACCACCUGAUAAUAUUUUGUUAAUUUAGUGGUCCUCCUUCAAACGACCCAGGCACUUUAGGAUUUUUCUGUUUUGUUCAGUGCUGUGUCUCCUGUGACUGCACGUAGUAGGACAGGGUGAAUAUUACCUAAAUAAAUAUGAGAUGAAGGAGCAGGAGGUAAGGGCCUUAAGGGAAGCAUCCUUGCUGAAGACAUAGGGCUUAGUCAAGAGAAGGAGCUCAAAGAUAAAACACUUGAAUAGAAUACUUCAUUUGUUUACUCUCCAUAGUGUGCCCAACAGGGUUCUAGGCCAGACCCUGGUAAUGUUAGGGCAUAAGGGCCUCACUGACAACUAAAUUGUAAGGUAUAUGUUCAGAAAUACACUCAUUGGGCACUUAGGCUUUGAAGGUAAAUACACGUGCAUACACACAGCUCCUCAGCAGCUUUCUAAUUGGGUAGCAUUGAGCACAUAGUUAAAGUGACUCUUUCCAAGAUUCUUAACUAUAAACUGGUUGUGUUAGUAUCUCAUUUGCAGAGUUUCUAUGAAUAAUCUUUUUGCAGAGGUAUGGGCAUCUCUUUGCCAAGUCAUUCUCAUAUCUUGGUUGCUCAAAUGGAACAUGUUGUUAGUAAAGAAUGUUACAGUUUGUAUUGGCUUUAAAAUACAUACUUCAUCCACGGCAGUGGAAGAAACUGUUGCAUUUUCGUUAUUUGAAAUUUGUGCAGUAGUGCUACAGAUAUCACUGUGAGAGAUGACACACACUGCUAACUUCACUCCGAGUGUUCUUGUUCUGCUGCUGCUGUACCUCCUGUACAAUUCCUGCAGAAUUGAAUAGGAGAAGUCUUCUCUGCCACCUGUAUGUGGAAUUCAGUCAGUUGAUGCUGUUUCUCAAAAACCAGGUUUUGGGGACCCUGCAGCCCUUGUGGGAGAGGGUCUAGUAGUCAGGGGCUGAGCAGUAAUACAUGUUAGCCUGCCAAGAGGUGCAGAAAUAAAUAUUGGGAGUGGAACCCCCGGAAGUCUGGCAUACAGGUCACACUUUCCUGGAUUUGAGAUGGUGUGUAUAUUCUUACUAUUGAAGACGUUCUCUGAUUUUUUUAUGUUUUCAUUAUUAUGAUCAAAUUGACAGCUAAAUUUUUUUAGACUACAGUUAACUUGCUUACAAAAUGGAACUCUUAACCUGUUUUUUUUUAUGAUCUACAAGAACCAGAGGACUGUUUUAUAGCUCUAGAGGAGAUAAGAUUGCUCUAACUUCUUUUUUUUUUCCCCCCUCUAUUUUCUUACAAGAUUGAUGUGUGUUUGCUUGGGUGUCUUAGGGCUAUGCAUGUCUGUGUGUGUGUGUGUUUUGAGGGGAGUGAUCACUCCUAACAGAUGUGCUGCAAAAUCCCCAGUCUUGAUUAUGGAAAUUGUGGGGAGACCCAGAUUCUCGUGUCUUCUUUCUCCUGCCUCAGCUCUAACUUCUCAAUACUCUGUCUUUCUUCAUGAAGGGAACAUGGAGGAAGAAAGAACAGCUGCUGAGUUACAGAAAAAUAUGACACAGGAACCAGUGGUCUUUGAGGAUGUGGCUGUGGACUUUACCCAGGAGGAGUGGGCUUUGCUAGAUCUCGCUCAGAGAAACCUCUACAGAGAUGUGAUGCUGGAAAACUUCCGGAACCUGGCCUCAUUAGGGUAUCCACUACACACACCCUAUCUGAUCUCCCAGUGGAAACAAGAGGAGGACCUGGAGAUAGCAGAGAGAGGACCCACCCAGGGGGAGCAUCAGGAAGGUUUUGAGACUCAACUUAAAACUAAUGAAUUAGUCGCUCCACAAGAUAUUUAUCGAGAAAAAAUAUCCAGUGAACAGAAUGUAGUAAGAUUCAAAAGGAGUGCUUCCUCGUUGUCCAUUUUACACAGAAGCUGGGAAUACCAUGGUUUUGAUUAUCAGAACAAAAACCAUGAGAGACAUUUGAGAAGUCACAUGGUGGAGAACAUCUAUGAACAUAACGAAGAAAAUCAGUGUAGACAAACCUUCAGCCAUAUCUCAAAUCUUAAUAUACUCAAGAGAACUACUGAAGUAAAAGCCUAUGAAUGCCAGGAGUGUAAAAAGGCCUUCACAGAUCAUUUAUCCCUUAAGAAUCACAUAAGUUCUCACACUGGAAGCAAACCCUAUCAGUGUAAGGAAUGUGGGAAAGCUUUUCAUUUUUUUGCUUGUUUUAAGAAGCAUAUGAAAACUCCCACUGAAGAGAAACCCUAUGAAUGUAAGGAAUGUACCAAAGCCUUCAGUUGUUCUUCAUUCUUUAGGGCACAUAUGAAGAUUCACACAGGAAAGACAAACUACGAAUGCAAGGAAUGUGGGAAAACCUUUAGCUGUUCUUCAUCCCUUACAGAGCACAAAAGAAUUCACAGUGGAGAUAAGCCUUAUGAAUGUAAGGAGUGCGGGAAAGCAUUUAGUUGUUCCUCCUCACUCUCCAAACACAAAAGAAUUCACAGUGGAGAUAAGCCAUAUGAAUGUAAGGAGUGUGGGAAGGCCUUCAGUUCCUCUUCUCACCUUAUAAUACAUAUAAGAAUCCAUACUGGAGAGAAGCCUUAUGAAUGUAAAGAGUGUGGGAAAGCCUUCAGUGAGUCCUCAAAGCUCACCGUACACGUCAGAACACAUACGGGAGAGAAACCCUAUAAAUGUAAGGAAUGCGGGAAAGCCUACAAUUGUCCGUCCUCCUUAAGUAUCCAUAUGAGAAAACACACUGGGGAGAAACCCUAUGAAUGUCUGGAAUGUGGAAAAGCCUUUUAUCUUCCCACUUCCCUGAAUACACAUGUGAAAAAUCAAAGUAGAGAGAAACCCUACGAAUGUAAGGAAUGUGGAAAAGCCUUCAGUUGUCCCUCGUCCUUUAGAGCACAUGUGAGAGAUCACACUGGAAAGGUGCAGUACGAAUGUAAGGAAUGUGGGAAGGCCUUUAGUCGUUCCUCAUCCCUCACCGAACACUUAAGAACUCACAGUGGAGAGAAGCCUUAUGAAUGUAAGGAAUGUGGGAAAGCCUUUAUUAGUUCCUCCCACCUUACGGUACAUAUAAGAACUCACACUGGAGAGAAACCUUAUGAAUGUAAGAAAUGUGGAAAAGCCUUCAUUUACCCCUCAGCCCUUAGGAUCCACAUGAGAACGCACACUGGGGAGAAACCCUAUGAAUGUAAGGACUGUGGGAAAGCCUUUCGCCAUUCUUCAUACCUUACUGUCCACACAAGGAUGCACACUGGAGAGAAACCCUUUGAAUGUCUGGAAUGUGGGAAAGCAUUCAGUUGUCCUUCAUCCUUUCGAAGACACGUAAGAAGCCACACUGGUGAGAAGCCCUAUGAAUGUAAGGAAUGUGGGAAAGCCUUUGUUUGUCCCGCUUACUUUCGAAGACAUUUGAAAACUCACACUAGAGGAAACAUAUAAAGUAAGGAAUAAGGAAAUGUCUGCAAGGCUUUUUCAGAUCUUAGGCAGCACGCAAGAUCUCACACUGUGGAGACACCCUGUGAAUGUAAGAAAUUGUCGCUCAUCUUUUUGAAGACUUGAGAACUCACAACUAAGAGAAACCCUGUGUAUGUAAAUCAUGUGGUAACACCUUCAUGAACAUCACUUACUGUGUUCUAAGAAAAUUCAUACUAGAAGCAAAGAUCGGUGCCUCAUCCUUAAAGUGGACUACUGCUGGCUCAUUGAUUUCCAGUUUUAAUUUUCUGAUGAAUGUUUAAGGUGAUAAAUUUCCUCUAAUACCUUUCAGCUGUAGCUGCAUAUGUUUUAUGAGGUGCUUUUGUUUUGGUUUGGAUGUAAAUGUUAUUUCCAUUACAGAGUUUUUUGGACCCAUUGGGGAGUUGAAGUGUAUUUUUUCGUAUGCAGGCAUACGGUCUUUUAAAAAUUAUUAUUAGUUUCUAAUUAACUCUCAUUGUUCUUUAAGUAUGCAGUCAUUGUGGUAUCAACACUUCGGUAUUUGUAAUUUUUCGUAAAUGGUAAUUUCAUUUUGAUCUAGUAUGGCAGAAACUGGAAAUUGCCUACCCAAUAUUCCCCAACCCCUUUUUUUUUCUACUAAAAGAUUAUCAGUUUUUAUUAUUAAAAGCUUUUCCUGUCUAAUAAGUAAUCCAGUGGAAAUAAGUACAAAGGUUUUGAAAGAAGAGUCUCAUCUGUUAUGAUAUUUUUGUAUUUUGUUCUUUGUCCUUGCUCAUGACUGGGAAUUGGACCCAAUGUUUUGAAUUUUUAUAAAAGAGACCUUGUGACAGGAAAGCUAGAAGUUGGUUGGGCUGGCUUAUGUUGUGUUACUUUGGACAUGGCUGGGACUACAUUUCCCAAAAUUACUUCCUUAUCCAGUUCCAGGUUAGAGUUGUCUAAAAUAAGAGUUUCUGUGAGAAUUGGAAGGCAGAGGGAAGAAGCCAUUAUUCUGAGUUUAGCGGGGCCAUGAGACAGGAAGACAUGCAUAGGUCCUGGUAAGCUCCAGUUUCCAGCUCAUUUUCCUAAUUAUUGGAUCCACUGAUCAGUACUGGCUCAAAACGGAACAUUAAAUGUGUGACUUCAGUUAUCUCAGAGGCAGCAACUCCACAGACAUUUCCAUAAAUUCCUCUGUCAUGGCCAUACACAGCUUCUUGGAUUUUUUCUGGCAAGUUCUUGCAUUGUAAUAUUGCUGAUAUUACAGCCCCUCUGGCACAUCAACUGACUGUAUAGAGUUGGCCCCAGUUUGAAGCAGGAUUGUUGUCAUCUGCGUAGUCCAGCCCCAUCAUGUCACUCUGCUCAAGGGGAAAAGACACAUCUGUGCAAGUUCCCUGUGAUCUCAAGACAAGAAGAAGAGCUGUGGACAAUGAGGAAGACCAGGUAUAAUUGAAGAUCUCAGUUCCCUGACCAGGGAUUGAACCCAGGCCACGGCAGUGAAAGCUCAGAAUCCUAACCACUAGGCCACCAGAGAACCUCCUGGAGAUCUUCUUUUAUGAGGGUACCUAUUGAAGCACUUCACUCAUUUUUGGUUCCUUUUUUAUUUGAAGGGUUUCCUGUGGUUAUUUUUCCUUUUUUAAUGUAUGUGUAUCUCUGUCUAUAUCUAGUUACAUACGUAUACGUAAAACAUGUUAUAAUACACGUAAAUUAUGUUUAUUAUAUAUAUAUGUGUGUUGCAGAUAACUUUUCCCAGUCUCUGACAUGUCUUCAUGCUUUUCAUUUUUGUAAACUAUAAAGGGAAUUUAUUGGUUUGAUUACUGAAAAAUCCUUGGGUAUAAGUAACUUCAGAGGUGCCUGGGUCCUGGAGCUAAAAAGAUGUUAUCUGGAUGAGUUCUGUUUCCAUGUCUUGUCUGCGCAUCUUUCUGCAUUACCUAUUCUUCCUUGUGGGCUCUUUUUCUUCACAGUGGCCCUCAGAAGAUCCAGGCUGCUUUCUUUCUGGGUUCAGUCUCAGGGAGAAGAGAGUGAUUGUCUUUCUGAACAAUUCCAAUAUGAUUAUUACAGUUGAAUCUGAUUGGCUCACUUGCCAACUGUUGUCGAAUCACUGUGGCCAGAGGAAUGUAAUUCUCUGCUUUGUUUAGGACUGGCUCCCAUACUCAUCCAGAAAAAGAGAGUGGAGUCAGUCCUAACUGAAUCAUAGGGUGCUGGCAAUCGUGUUGUAUAUGGUGAAGGGAAGGAGACAGCAGGGGGCAGGUGGGGUGUAGAAAUAGAGGUAAUAAUAACAUCAGCUAGCACAAUAUGCUUAUUCUGGUCUUAGCACUGGGAGGGAACUAUGAAGUCUGGGAACUCUCAGCCAAGGCUAAGUAGUUCUAGAAAUCCUUUCAGAAAGGUUCGAUUCCAUCUGUUACCAUCUCUUUAGAUUGCUAAGAUGGUUUCUCAAUCUUUACUUGGCUUUGCAGUAUUUUUGGAUAUCCGGUAGCAAGAGCCUUCCAACUUUUUUAUUCAUCAGGAUUGUCUUCCUUCUCUAUUCCUGAUUUGAUUCUAUAUUAAUUUUAGAUCUUAUCAAUUUUCACAAAUCUGGGACUUUGCUUGGAAUUGCAUUGACUUUAGAGAAUAACCUGAAUAAAAUUGACAUCUUUACAAUACUGAGUCUUCUAAUUGAUGAACAUAAUAUAAUUAUCCAUUUAUCUA